GGGAAGGUACUCAAGAGGUUCAAGAGGCUCCCCUGCUAAGGGAGUAGAUCGUUGAUAGCGGUGCGUGGGUUCGAAUCCCACCCUUCCCGCCA
rnacentral:tRNA from 1 species